rnacentral:rRNA from 1 species
UACGUAGGGUGCGAGCGUUAAUCGGAAUUACUGGGCGUAAAGCGUGCGCAGGCGGUUGUGCAAGACAGAUGUGAAAUCCCCGGGCUCAACCUGGGAACUGCAUUUGUGACUGCACGGCUGGAGUGCGGCAGAGGGGGAUGGAAUUCCGCGUGUAGCAGUGAAAUGCGUAGAUAUGCGGAGGAACACCGAUGGCGAAGGCAAUCCCCUGGGCCUGCACUGACGCUCAGGCACGAAAGCGUGGGGAGCAAACAGG